UGGUCAAUGAUGUCUUGAGCACUGUGCACUCUGAGUUCUGGGAAGCAGUUGAUGGAGUGUGUUCCUAAGAACAGGCUGAGGCUG
ensembl:scaRNA